rnacentral:rRNA from 1 species
ACUCCUACGGGAGGCAGCAGUGGGGAAUAUUGCACAAUGGGGGAAACCCUGAUGCAGCCAUGCCGCGUGUGUGAAGAAGGCCUUGGGUUGUAAAGCACUUUCAGUAGGGAGGAAGGUAGUGUAGUUAACACCUGCACUAUUUGACGUUACCUACAGAAGAAGCACCGGCUAACUCCGUGCCAGCAGCCGCGGUAAUACGGAGGGUGCGAGCGUUAAUCGGAAUUACGUGGGCGUAAAGCGCAUGCAGGCGGCCUGUUAAGUCAGAUGUGAAAGCCCCGGGGCUUAACCGUCGGAAUUGCAUUUGAAACUGGCGAGGCUAGAGUCUUGGUAGAGGGGGUUAGAAUUUCAGGUGUAGCGGUGAAAUGCGUAGAGAUCUGAAGGAAUACCAGU